rnacentral:lncRNA from 1 species
GGACAAAUUAGGACUGCUAAAGGAAACCCUGUAUGGUUUAGUAGAAACAGAAAAAGGAAAACUUGUCCUCCCACAGAAAGAAGGACACAAGUAUGUUACCAACUUACAUUACUUGACCCACUUGGGGGCCAAGAAAUUAAAAGGUGUGGUUAGGUCCUCCAACUACUAUGUUAUAGGACUCUCAGACUUGGCAGAAGAAAUAAUCAAAAGCUGCAAUGCCUGUGCUAUGUAUACUCAUGGGUAGAGGCUCAGGGGCAACCGGCCUGGGGCCUACUGAGAGGUAGAUUUUACAGAAAUUAAGCCAGGUAGAUAUGGCAACAAGUACUUAUUAGUGUUUAUAGACACCUUUUCAGGCUGUGUAGAAGCUUUUCCUACCAGGACUGAGAUGGCCACUGUAGUAGCCAAGAAGAUUCUAGAAGAAAUCUUCCCGCGGUUUGGAAUACCAAAAGUAAUCAGGUCUGAUAAUGGGCCUGCCUUUGUUGCCCAGAGUAACAUUAAUCCCGCAACAUGGCUGCUCUGGCAAGGGAUCAUAUCCAGAGACUUUUUAGGACUAUAUGAUCCAGCUGGACUGCAGAAAACCUUUAAUAUACACCUUUAAUCCCUAACAAUGAAGGAAUGAAAAUAAAGAACAAAUAAAUGAACUUGGAAAGCUGUCUGCUGAUACUGAAAUUCAGACCUCAACCUUCUCCAAGAUUUGCAUCUGCCUCCCUGGAUACAAAGAUUGUCAGUCCUUUGCAACCUUACAGCUCUGGAGAGUCAUGAGCCAUUUAAGGAAAUCAAUAAAUGAUUACCUGAUCACCUCUACCUAGGUAUUACACAAGAGCCUCCAUUCUCUGAUUCUUUGGCUCCUAGUUCCUGUACAGGGAAUGCCUCCACAUGUGAAAUUCAGGCAUCUGCUGUCCAUUUCUUGCCUCGGUCAUGCAGGGCUGUGCCUUCUGUAAUGAAGAUACAACAUUCAAUCUUCAGCUUGUGACACAGACUACAGAACAAUUUUGGCAUUUUCAUGUUUUUAGAUCAGCCACUGUAACCCAGUGUGGACAAAUUGAGGAAUGAAUCAGCUGCACUGAUAGUGAUCUCCAAGGAUCUGAUAUCUAUGUCUAGAUAAGUGAUCUCUCUCCUGAUUGGAUCUGACUUCAUUCUCUAUUUGAAUACACCUUCUCAAUCAAUCAGAAGCAAGAAGAGCAAAUAAAUUUAUCUGCAGGAGAAGAUUUGAUCAGUCAGGCUGCUGGUGAUUCUCCAGGACUUAUCUGGUCCUGGAUAUAACCACUGCCAGACUGAAUGGUGCUAAAGAGAAGGGAGAGUGCUUGUGUCACUGUCAGCAGACACAGCCAGUGGAAAGCUGGGAAGGCUGUGCUUGUUUAUUCAGAGUCUCCAUGCAUUGAUUGCUUAGCUCCAUGUUUUUGAUAGUAGCUGUCACCCUAUAGGAAAUUCAGCUAUCUGAUUUGAAGUGUGUUUUACUUUUAUCAGUCAUGAAUGUUUGUGUCUUCUUCAAAGAAGAUACAAGAUUCAAACUUCAGCUUAUGGCACAGACUAGGGAAUAUCUGACAUAUUCAGAUCUUUUGUUUGGCUCCUGUGGGAACAACUGUUGUAGCAAAUAUCACCAAUUAACCACCAUGAAACCUCUGAAAAGGCCAUAGUUAGAUCAUACAGUACCCAGAGUCAAAUUACUCUUCAUACAGUGAUAGUAACCUGUUGGCAUUAAUGGCAGGAGGCAUUUUUAGAUACAACCACAAUUUAUCAUGUUAUUAUUGUUUUAAUUUACUAGAUUGUCUAGGUGGUCAUUUUUCCAAGUCAGUUUUUUUGCUAAAUUACAGUUCAGGGGAUCAUGACCCGUUACAGGAAUCACUGCAUUAUAUUUUGAUUAUCUACACCUUGGUAUUACAACAUGUAACAGGAGAAAAUGGACAGUUAUUUUCACUGUGACCUUGUACUAGUGAAUACCUCUAGACCUAUGCUUUUCUGCUUAUUUGCAUUCUGUCUUUAGAGAUCUAUACUUUGUGAUAUAACAUGGAUAUAUAUGAAACUGUCUUGCUGUGUUGAUGAUAUUCCUGACUGUCUUAGUCAGGGUUUCUAUUCCUGCACAAACAUCAUGACCAAGAAACAAGUUGGGGAGGAAAGGGUUUAUUCGGCUUACACUUCCAUACUGCUGUUCAUCACCAAGGAAGCCAGGACUGGAACUCAAGCAGGUCAGGAAGCAGGAGCUGAUGCAGAGGCCAUGGAGGAAUGUUCUUUACUGGCUUGCCUCUCCUGGCUUGCUCAGCCUGCUCUCUUAUAGAACCCAAGACUACCAGCCCAGAGAUGGUCCCACCCACAAGGGGCCUUUCCCCCUUGAUCACUAAUUGAGAAAAUGCCUUACAGAUGGAUCUCAUGGAGGCAUUUCCUCAACUGAAGCUCCUUUCUCUGUGAUAACUCCAGCUGUGUCAAGUUGACACAAAACUAGCCAGUUCACUGACAGUCUUUUUUUUUUGUUUUGUUUUGUUUUUGUUUUUGUUUUUCAAGAAUGGGUUUCCCUGGCUGUCCUGAAAGUCACUUUGUAGACCAGGCUGGCCUCGAAUUCAGAAAUCCACCUACCUCUGCCUCCCAAGUGCUGAGACUAAAGGCAUGUGCCACCAUGCCCGGCUUUAUUCCUGAAAGUCUUAAACAACUUAUAAGUAUAUAUUCAUCAGAAAAUAUAAUGCUCCUUUACAAUCACAUUGAUUAUUCUAAAUGCACCAUGCUCUGUUGUGAAAUUCACAUCAUAUAAACAUUGUUUUCAACACUGAAUUUCACCAAAUAUUGUUGAAUUGUAUGAGACACUCCAGUAUUUCAUAUAAACUGAGUAUGCUUGGAGAACUCCAUGGGCCGAAUAUGGCACUAUAGUUCUAAUAGCUCUCUUAUGGUUACAAUAUUAGGUAUUAUAUUUUCUAGGAAAUGUUAUAAUCAGAGUUUACAAAAGAAGCAAGAGGUGCAGGAGACACAGAAAUCCUGCUAUCAGUCAGCAGGCAGCAAAACUUACAUGAUAAAUUUCACAGUCUUUGGUUAAAAAGAAACAGAACCUCUUUGGCAAAUGGCUUGGAUCUAGGCAAAGUAGGCCAGAUGUAGGAACAGCUCCAGGAUUUCACUGACUUGAUUUUCUCUUGGCCAUUGUAGAUAGAAAUAGUUAAAGACAGUUUUUCUGCCACUCACUUUUGACUUUUCUUCUUCCAUUAGGAAACUUAGGAAGGAGGAGGGCAAGAGAUGAAUCAGCAGACUGAUGGUGAUCUCCAAUAUUAUAGCAGGUUUUGAUGCCAAUGCCUAGAUAUAAGAUAUAUGCUGAUUGGACCUGUCUCCAUUCUCAAUUUGAAUUCACAUUCUCAAUAAAUCAUAAACCAGAAGAGC